rnacentral:misc_RNA from 1 species
GAAAUGCGAUACGCAAUGCGAAUUGCAGAAUUCCGCGAGUCAUCAGAUCUUUGAACGCAACUGGCGCUGAGGGGAUAUCCUCUCAGCAUGCUUGUUUCAGUGUCUAGAAACUUCAUACAUCUUAAUGUGAUUGAAAUGUUUUUCUUAUAUAAGAAAAAACAUUUCUCUCAUGAAAUAUGAAAAUGUGGAUCUUUUGAUCCAACGAAGUAGUCACAUUUUAUAUGUGAUUUCGUUGGUCUUUCAAAUUAUCCGUAAACAUUUUUGUUUCUAACUACAAAAUAUAUCUUCAAUAUGCAUCUGAAAUCAAGCAAGGUUACCCGCUGAACUUAAGC